rnacentral:pre_miRNA from 12 species
UGACCGGUCCAGGUUAACCUGGACAGGUUGACCUGUCCAGGUUGACCUGUCCAUGUUGACCUGUCCAGGUUA